UAGGGAAUCUUCCACAAUGGACGCAAGUCUGAUGGAGCAACGCCGCGUGAGUGAAGAAGGCUUUCGGGUCGUAAAACUCUGUUAUUGAAGAAGAACGUGUGUGACAGUAACUGGUCAUGCAGUGACGGUAUUCAAUCAGAAAGUCACGGCUAACUACGUGCCAGCAGCCGCGGUAAUACGUAGGUGGCAAGCGUUGUCCGGAUUUAUUGGGCGUAAAGCGAGUGCAGGCGGUCUUUUAAGUCUGAUGUGAAAGCCUUCGGCUUAACCGAAGAAGGGCAUCGGAAACUGGGAGACUUGAGUGCAGAAGAGGAGAGUGGAACUCCAUGUGUAGCGGUGAAAUGCGUAGAUAUAUGGAAGAACACCAGUGGCGAAGGCGGCUCUCUGGUCUGUAACUGACGCUGAGGCUCGAAAGCGUGGGUAGCAAACAGGAUUAGAUACCCUGGUAGUCCACGCCGUAACGAUGAAUACUAAGUGUUGGAGGGUUU
rnacentral:rRNA from 1 species